CUAAUGUUUGUUUAGUAUUUUUUUGAUCUCAUAAUGUUGUGCAUUAAAUCGGGUAAUAAAGGAAUAUUUAUAAACUUCCUUUUGUACCUUGUCCUUCUUGUUUUGAUUUAAUAGUUCUCUUCUAUUUAAUUUUCCAAUUCUAGAUGUCUCUUGUUUUAAAACGGUUCUAUCAUAUUUUUUAGAGAUCAACUUAUUAGAUAAAUGACUGGCUUGUUCAUAAUAAUCACUAUCUUUUGAACAAUUUCUCCUGAUUCGGAUGAGUUGACUUUUUG